rnacentral:rRNA from 1 species
UACAGAGGUGGCAAGCGUUGUUCGGAAUUACUGGGCGUAAAGGGUGCGUAGGCGGGUCUUUAAGUCAGGGGUGAAAUCCUGGAGCUCAACUCCAGAACUGCUUUUGAUACUGAAGAUCUUGAGUUCGGGAGAGGUGAGUGGAACUGCGAGUGUAGAGGUGAAAUUCGUAGAUAUUCGCAAGAACACCAGUGGCGAAGGCGGCUCACUGGCCCGAUACUGACGCUGAGGCACGAAAGCGUGGGGAGCAAACAGG